rnacentral:rRNA from 1 species
AAGCUCGUAGUUGAAUUUCCGGUAUCAAUGGAUUGGUCAUGCCGAUGGUGUGUACUGGUCAUAUUGGUUCUCACCUUCUAAGGAACCAUAAUGUCAUUUAUUUGGUGUUGUGGGAAAUUAGGACUGUUACCUUGAAAAAAUUAGAGUGUUUAAAGCAGGCUAACGCUUGAAUACAUUAGCAUGGAAUAAUGAAAUAGGACAUCCGAUUCUAUUUUGUUGGUUUCUAGGAUCGAUGUAAUGAUUAAUAGGGAUAGUUGGGGGCAUUAGUAUUCAAUUGUCAGAGGUGAAAUUCUUGGAUUUAUUGAAGACUAACUACUGCGAAAGCAUUUGCCAAGGAUGUUUUCAUUAAUCAAGAACGAAAGUUAGGGGAUCGAAGACGAUCAGAUACCGUCGUAGUCUUAACCAUAAACUAUGCCGACUAGGGAUCGGAUGAUGUUAAUUUUUUAAUGACUCAUUCGGCGCCUUACGGGAAACCAAAGUGUUUGGGUUCCGGGGGGAGUAUGGUCGCAAGGCUGAAACUCAGAGGAAUUGACGGAAGGGCACCACCAGGGGUGGAGCCUGCGGCUUAAUUUGACUCAACACGGGGAAA